rnacentral:lncRNA from 11 species
GUGUUUAAUCACUAUACGUUUUGUAAGAAAGCAUGCCUUGUUUCUCCAUUCAGGUCUUCAGCCCAACUAUAUCUGCAAGUGAAUGGAAUAUGAAUGAGGUGGAGGCCAACUUAUCCUCGUUUGUGUUUUUGCAUCAAGAGGCAGAAGCGCAUUGCGGUUCAGGAGAAGAGUGCAAAUGAGAUGUUCUUCGGAGUGUCGAAUCCUCAGUUGAAUAACUUAUUUUUUGGCCCAGGAGGAAACGUCAUGCGUCAACCACCCAACUCUUUGUGGAGGAACACUAUGAAUGUAUCUGGUUAACUUCGACUCUUUGCCCCCCAACCACAUCCC